GACGUAGGGCGCGAGCGUUGUCCGGAUUUAUUGGGCGUAAAGAGCUCGUAGGCGGCUUGUCGCGUCGAAUGUGAAAUCUCAGGGCUCAACUCUGACAUUGCAUUCGAUACGGGCAGGCUAGAGUUCGGUAGGGGAGACUGGAAUUCCUGGUGUAGCGGUGAAAUGCGCAGAUAUCAGGAGGAACACCGGUGGCGAAGGCGGGUCUCUGGGACGUAACUGACGCUGAGACGCGAAAGCGUGGGGAGCAAACAGG
rnacentral:rRNA from 1 species